GAAAGAUCUCCCAUGCUCAUGGAUUGGCAGGAUUAAUAUAGUAAAAACGGCCAUUUUACCAAAAGCAAUCUACAGAUUCAAUGCAAUCCCCAUCAAAAUACCAAUCCAAUUCUUCAAAGAGUUAGACAGAACAAUUUGCAAAUUCAUUUGGAAUAACAAAAAACCCAGGAUAGCUAAAGCUAUCCUCAACAAUAAAAGGACUUCAGGGGGAAUCACUAUCCCUGAACUCAAGCAGUAUUACAGAGCAAUAGUGAUAAAAACUGCAUGGUAUUGGUACAGAGACAGACAGAUAGACCAAUGGAAUAGAAUUGAAGACCCAGAAAUG
rnacentral:lncRNA from 1 species